rnacentral:rRNA from 1 species
CAAUGGGAGCGGCAGACGGGAGAGUAACACGUGGGAACGUACCCUUCAGUUCGGAACAACCCAGGGAAACUUGGGCUAAUACCGAAUACGUCCGUAAGGAGAAAGAUUUAUCGCUGAAGGAUCGGCCCGCGUCUGAUUAGCUAGUUGGUGGGGUAAUGGCCCACCAAGGCGACGAUCAGUAGCUGGUCUGAGAGGAUGAUCAGCCUCACUGGGACUGAGACACGGCCCAG